rnacentral:lncRNA from 1 species
ACAAAAUGACAACAAGAUAUAUAGGUUUAGUUGCCUGUCUCAUGCUAUAUCAUCAAACAUAAAAUAUGUAAAUGCAACUCAAAUUAGUGCCAAGAAUGUCUUACUGAAAGUUGAACUACUAGGAGCAGUAUGAUCAGCAAGGCAGUGAUGAGCUCACAAUAAAGAGUGCAAACAAUUGAAGCUUGGUACUCGUGGAGAAAAUAUUGCAAAGUAGAGCUAAGAUAUGUAGAGAACAGUAUCAAUUUCUUCUUUUGUCAGGAGCCGUAGUUUUGCUAGCCCUCUUUCUCUAUGCCCA